AAAAAUCCUUAUUUUGUUGUAAAUUACAGAAUAACCCAUACAAUCACUAGUUUGUCGAAUUAUUGUUUUCCAAUUUAACCUCAAUGUUAAUCAGAAUUAUCCAUCACCCCCUAUAAUUCCAGAAAUAUACGUAUACCGGUAUACGAACAAAGCAAAUAAGAAUUAAGCAUUUAAGCUACUUGUAUCGCCCAACUGAGGUUUGUGAGCUCUCUCCAUCUCUAUUUAUAGAAAUGAAGAAGGGACUACACCCUCAGAUGCAAUGGAUAUCCUAUGUGACCCAGAGCGGCAGAUUGAUGCAUGUUAUGAUGACAAAAAUACACCAUGUCGGCAAAGUGUACCAUUUUAGGGCAAGACGCCAGAUGGCUCAAAGUAUUGGACAGCUUGCUAAGUUUAAGCGCCGGUAUGAGCAGCAGGAGAAUACCGAAAACAAUGAAAAAUGAAAAGCAAAGGUCCAGAGUGAAGUUAGAUAUUGUAGCCGGACUUGUAUUUCUAUUUUACAAAAUUAACCAAAACCUGAUUCUCUGAGGGACAUCAUCAUUUUUCUACUCCAUGUGUGCUUAGAUUUACAAAUUUUCAUUUUGAUUAUAGUUGUGAGGCAACACAAUUUUCAAGUUAUCUUCAGUAAUUCAAUCAAGUUUUCACAA